CAGGUAUUCAAGACGAUUCAGUAGUCUCAACGUGGAUCAGCUCAGAUCCCUGCAGUUACGCGUGAUAUCGGGGGACACUGUCUUCGUACCUGGAACGCUGGAAGAACCCGCACUGGGGCAGAGAAGAAAAAGAACGGUUUACAUUUAAGUUGUUGCCAAGGUACUACAAUUAUAGCGGCAAUAAAUCAACAAAUUCUUCCUUUGCACAGACAUACAGUGCAGAACCGGUACUGAAGUUUCAGAUUGCUGUGACAUUUGUUGUCUUCUCCACAUCCUUCUUUUAAGAACUCCACCUAAAUGAAACCAAAGCACUUUUACUGCCCGCCACAUGAUGCUAGCAUCAAACAAGAUUCCUGAUGUGCACUGCAUAAAGCAUUUACAGGGAACUCAAGAGACACUUCCCUGGACAGAAUUCAUUUGAAUUUAGAAUUGGUAUAAGAUCCGGAAGCGCUCUCUCUUUUCUGCUGGACGGAAGGGAGAAGACAAGACAGUUCACGUGAACAGAUGAAUGACCUGAUCCCACUUGCUCUGGGAGAAACAUCUAAGGGGUGUUUGAAAAGGUCAGUCAGCCACCUCCUCCUCUUCUAGCAAAUUUCUUUUAACCCUUUCACUGUUUCUCACCGUAAGGGUUUUCUUUCUCACCUUUGUAAAAGUGCCCUUAGCAACUGACAAAGCUCCUUUUGAGUAAGCAGAACACUUAGUAAUCUAACCAGCUUCCA